UACGAAGGGGGCUAGCGUUGCUCGGAAUCACUGGGCGUAAAGCGCACGUAGGCGGCUUUUUAAGUCAGAGGUGAAAUCCUGGAGCUCAACUCCAGAACUGCCUUUGAUACUGGAGAGCUUGAGUCCGGGAGAGGUGAGUGGAACUGCGAGUGUAGAGGUGAAAUUCGUAGAUAUUCGCAAGAACACCAGUGGCGAAGGCGGCUCACUGGCCCGGUACUGACGCUGAGGGUGCGAAAGCGUGGGGAGCAAACAGG
rnacentral:rRNA from 1 species